rnacentral:rRNA from 1 species
UUUGGGUCCUGCUCAAGUUGGCGGGAGCGGAAUCACCCCGUGCAUCAAACUGUCCGCUCUAGCAGGCCGAAACGGUUCCCUGUGAGUAGGCCCCUUCAUUGGGGUCGAAAGCGCCAACGCAUCAACCAUAUGCAUACGGGACGUCGGCCAAAGUUACUGUGAACAAACCAGCGUGUCCAAAGCAGGCCUUCGCCUGAAAGUUCGAGCAUGGAAUAACAAGUGAUCGAUUCUCUCGGUUCUUUUGUUUUUGUUGGUUUUUAACUCGAGAAGGAGUAAUUCAGUCCACGGUGUCUGAGUUGGGUUCCCCUAGGCUUCGGUUUAGGCCCCAUCUAGGCCGUGUCCUUACGGGAUCAAUAGGGACUGACGGGGUCGUACCUACUUCCGCGUCAGAGGUGGAAUUCUUAGAUCGCGGGAAGAGGAACUUCUGCGAAAGCAUUCGACAAGAAUGUCUUCAUUAAUCAAGAACGAGAGUGUGGGGAUCGAAGAUGAUCAGAUACCGUCGUAGUCCACACUGUAAACAAUGCCGUCUCAGGAUUGAGAAGUGAACAGAAUGACUUCCACAGCACUAACCCCUGAAACGAGAAAUCAAAGAUUAUGGGUUCAGGGGGGAGUACAUUCGCAAAGCUGGAACUUAAAGGAAUUGACGGAAUGACACCACAAGGCGUGGAGUAUGCGGCUUAAUU